GAUGAAGAACGCAGCGAAAUGCGAUAAGUAAUGCGAAUUGCAGAAUCCGUGAGUCAUCGAAUCUUUGAACGCACAUUGCGCCCCCUGGCAUUCCGGGGGGCAUGCCUGUCCGAGCGUCAUUGCUGCCCUUCAAGCCCGGCUUGUGUGUUGGGUCGUCGUCCCCCCCGGGGGACGGGCCCGAAAGGCAGCGGCGGCACCGCGUCCGGUCCUCGAGCGUAUGGGGCUUUGUCACCCGCUCGAUUAGGGCCGGCCGGGCGCCAGCCGGCGUCUCCAACCUUCUAUUUUACCAGGUUGACCUCGGAUCAGGUAGGGAUACCCGCUGAACUUAAGCAUAUCAAUAAGCGGAGGA
rnacentral:misc_RNA from 1 species